rnacentral:lncRNA from 1 species
UCAAGUUAAGCCGCUUUCUCUUCUUUUUGAAAUAAUACAGAAUAAUGAAUCCAUAAAAAUUCAGCCAUAAGGCUUUUAAUAAUAUCCUUCUCUAAUAAAUUGCUACUGCAUCCUUAACUAUUUAAAAAUAUUGAGUUUUUCCGGGAAAAAGUUCCCAUAUAUCACAUUCAGUCAAAAAACUGCUUUCCUUUUAUGUGAAGUUUCC